rnacentral:rRNA from 1 species
CGCAGCCGCGGUAAUUCCAGCUCCAAUAGCGUAUAUUAAAGUUGUUGCAGUUAAAAAGCUCGUAGUUGAAUUUCGGGGUUAGUAAGUUGGUCAUGCCUUCGGUAUGUACUGGCUUUACUGAUUCCUCCUUCUUGACGAACCGUGAUGUCAUUAAUUUGGUGUUGCGGGAAAUCAGGACUGUUACUUUGAAAAAAUUAGAGUGUUUAAAGCAGGCUAACGCUUGAAUACAUUAGCAUGGAAUAAUGAAAUAGGACGUUAAUCCUAUUUUGUUGGUUUCUAGGAUCGACGUAAUGAUUAAUAGGGAUAGUUGGGGGCAUUAGUAUUCAAUUGUCAGAGGUGAAAUUCUUGGAUUUAUUGAAGACUAACUACUGCGAAAGCAUUUGCCAAGGAUGUUUUCAUUAAUCAAGAACGAAAGUUAGGGGAUCGAAGACGAUCAGAUACCGUCGUAGUCUUAACCAUA